AGAUAUAUAGCUCAGUGGUAGCACGUGUGCCUAGCAUGCAUGAGGUCCUGGGUUCAAUCCCCAGUACCUCCA
rnacentral:tRNA from 1 species